CGGAGGGGCUAGCGUUGUUCGGAAUUACUGGGCGUAAAGCGCACGUAGGCGGACCAGAAAGUUGGGGGUGAAUCCCGGGGCCCAACCUCGGAACUGCCUUCAAAACUAUUGGUCUUGAGUUCGAGAGAGGUGAGUGGAAUUCCGAGUGUAGAGGUGAAAUUCGUAGAUAUUCGGAGGAACACCAGUGGCGAAGGCGGCUCACUGGCUCGAUACUGACGCUGAGGUGCGAAAGCGUGGGGAGCAAACAGGAUU
rnacentral:rRNA from 1 species